AUGCUAUCUGAGGUAGGCAGUCUCCUC
rnacentral:piRNA from 1 species